UAAGUUGGGAAUAACCAACCGAAAGGGUGGCUAAUACCGGAUGUGGUUGUCCGUCGCAUGGCGGAACAACUAAAGGUGGGGAUCUUCGGACCUGCCGCUUGGAGAGGAACCCGCGUCCCAUCAGCUUGUUGGUGAGGUAACGGCCCACCAAGGCUUACGGGUAGGUGGUCUGAGAGGAUGGUCACCCACACUGGGACUGAGACACUGCCCAGACUCCUACGGGAGGCUGCAGUCGAGGAUCAUUCGCAAUGCGCGAAAGCGUGACGAUGCGACGCUGCGUGGAGGAUGACGGCCUUCGGGUUGUAAACUCCUGUCAUUCGGGAAAAAUAUCAAGAGGACUAAUAUUCCUCUUGCUUGAUGGUACCGAAAGAGGAAGCCACGGCUAACUCUGUGCCAGCAGCCGCGGUAAUACAGAGGUGGCGAGCGUUGUUCGGAUUUACUGGGCGUAAAACGUGCGUAGGCGGUCUUGUGUGUCGGAUGUGGAAGCCCACGGCUCAACCGUGGAACUGCAUCCGAAACUACAUGACUAGAGUGCAGGAGGGGAGAGCGGAAUUCUGGGUGUAGCGGUGGAAUGCGUUGAUAUCCAGAAGAACACCGGUGGCGAAGGCGGCUCUCUGGAAUGUUACUGACGCUGAGGCACGAAAGCUGGGGAGCAAACAGGAUUAGAUACCCUGGUAGUCCCAGCCGUAAACGGUGUGGACUUGGUGUUGAGGGAUUUGACCCCCUCAGUGCCGGAGCUAACGCGUUAAGUCCACCGCCUGGGGAGUACGGCCGCAAGGCUAAAACUCAAAGAAAUUGACGGGGGCCCGCACAAGCGGGGGAGCAUGUGGCUUAAUUCGAUGCAACGCGAAGAACCUUACCAGGGCUUGACAUCUAGCUGCACGCCCGCCGAAAGGUGGGAAGCCUUCGAGGGUGCUAGACAGGUGCUGCAUGGCUGUCGUCAGUUCGUGCCGUGAGGUGUUGGGUUAAGUCCCGCAACGAACGCAACCCUUGUGUCUAGUUGCCACCGGCGAUGAUAAGUCGUCGAGCACUCUAGACAGACUGCCCGUACAAGCGGGAGGAAGGUGGGGAUGACGUCAAGUCAGUAUGGCCCUUACGCCCUGGGCUGCACACGUGCUACAAUGGUCGGUACAAUGGGCUGCAAUACCGCGAGGUGGAGCUAAUCCCCAAAACCGGCCUCAGUUCGGAUUGGAGUCUGCAACUCGACUCCAUGAAGCUGGAUUCGCUAGUAACGGCGCAUCAGCUACGGCGCCGUGAAUACGUUCCCGGGCCUUGUACACACCGCCCGUCACAUCAUGAAAGCCGUCUGCAGCCGUAGUCACUGGGCCAACCCGCAAGGGAGGCAGGUGCCGAAGCUGUGGGUGGUGAUUGGGAUGAAGUCGGAACAAGGUA
rnacentral:rRNA from 1 species